ACGGGGCCCGCACAAGCGGUGGAGUAUGUGGUUUAAUUCGACGCAACGCGCAGAACCUUACCUAGACUUGACAUCCCGGGGAUUUUCUGGAAACAGAGAAGUGCUUUAGCAAUAAGAACCCGGUGACAGGUGCUGCAUGGCUGUCGUCAGCUCGUGUCGUGAGAUGUUGGGUUAAGUCCCGCAACGAGCGCAACCCUCGCCUUUAGUUGCCAGCAUUCAGUUGGGCACUCUAGAGGGACUGCCGGUGUCAAACCGGAGGAAGGUGGGAUGACGUCAAGUCCUCAUGGCCUUUAUGUCUAGGGCUACACACGUACUACAAUGGCCGGUACAAAGGGCAGCCACUCAGCGAUGAGGCGCUAAUUCCAUAAAGCCGGUCUCAGUCCGGAUCGCAGUCUGCAACUCGACUGCGUGAAGUUGGAAUCGCUAGUAAUCGUAGAUCAGCAUGCUACGGUGAAUACGUUCCCGGGCCUU
rnacentral:rRNA from 1 species